UCGAGCGAACAGACGAGGAGCUUGCUCCUCUGACGUUAGCGGCGGACGGGUGAGUAACACGUGGAUAACCUACCUAUAAGACUGGGAUAACUUCGGGAAACCGGAGCUAAUACCGGAUAAUAUAUUGAACCGCAUGGUUCAAUAGUGAAAGACGGUUUUGCUGUCACUUAUAGAUGGAUCCGCGCCGCAUUAGCUAGUUGGUAAGGUAACGGCUUACCAAGGCAACGAUGCGUAGCCGACCUGAGAGGGUGAUCGGCCACACUGGAACUGAGACACGGUCCAGACUCCUACGGGAGGCAGCAGUAGGGAAUCUUCCGCAAUGGGCGAAAGCCUGACGGAGCAACGCCGCGUGAGUGAUGAAGGUCUUCGGAUCGUAAAACUCUGUUAUUAGGGAAGAACAAAUGUGUAAGUAACUAUGCACGUCUUGACGGUACCUAAUCAGAAAGCCACGGCUAACUACGUGCCAGCAGCCGCGGUAAUACGUAGGUGGCAAGCGUUAUCCGGAAUUAUUGGGCGUAAAGCGCGCGUAGGCGGUUUUUUAAGUCUGAUGUGAAAGCCCACGGCUCAACCGUGGAGGGUCAUUGGAAACUGGAAAACUUGAGUGCAGAAGAGGAAAGUGGAAUUCCAUGUGUAGCGGUGAAAUGCGCAGAGAUAUGGAGGAACACCAGUGGCGAAGGCGACUUUCUGGUCUGUAACUGACGCUGAUGUGCGAAAGCGUGGGGAUCAAACAGGAUUAGAUACCCUGGUAGUCCACGCCGUAAACGAUGAGUGCUAAGUGUUAGGGGGUUUCCGCCCCUUAGUGCUGCAGCUAACGCAUUAAGCACUCCGCCUGGGGAGUACGACCGCAAGGUUGAAACUCAAAGGAAUUGACGGGGACCCGCACAAGCGGUGGAGCAUGUGGUUUAAUUCGAAGCAACGCGAAGAACCUUACCAAAUCUUGACAUCCUCUGACCCCUCUAGAGAUAGAGUUUUCCCCUUCGGGGGACAGAGUGACAGGUGGUGCAUGGUUGUCGUCAGCUCCUGUCCUGAGAUGUUGGGUUAAGUCCCGCAACGAGCGCAACCCUUAAGCUUAGUUGCCAUCAUUAAGUUGGGCACUCUAAGUUGACUGCCGGUGACAAACCG
rnacentral:rRNA from 1 species